rnacentral:misc_RNA from 1 species
GAUGAAGAACGCAGCGAAAUGCGAUAAGUAAUGUGAAUUGCAGAAUUCAGUGAAUCAUCGAAUCUUUGAACGCACAUUGCGCCCCCUGGUAUUCCGAGGGGCAUGCCUGUCCGAGCGUCAUUACAACCCUCAAGCUCAGCUUGGUGUUGGGCCCCGCCGCCCCGGCGGGCCCUAAAGUCAGUGGCGGUGCCGUCCGGCUCCGAGCGUAGUAAUUCUUCUCGCUCUGGAGGUCCGGUCGUGUGCUCGCCAGCAACCCCCAAUUUUUUUCAGGUUGACCUCGGAUCAGGUAGGGAUACCCGCUGAACUUAAGCAUAUCAAUAAGCGGAGGA